GGGAAUUGAGAGUUAAUUAUAGAAAUGAAAUAGAGAAGAGAGUAGAUAUAACAAGAACAUCAAACUUCAUGUAGGGAGUAGGCAAAUUGAAUGUGCAGAUAGGUAUGACUGCUUAGGGGGGAAAGUAUUUUUUUUUGUCUUAAGUCUCCGGUUCAUCAGGGGAAAGAGGCUUUGACUAAUCCCUGAGUUCAGUCGGGAGGUAAGUAAAAUCUGAUAAAAAAUUAUUUCAACCAAGGAUCGAACGUGAGUAAUACCAAAGUGAUUCAACCUUAAACUUCAACACAUUAAUUACUUGUAUUCAAUCACUUGAU
rnacentral:lncRNA from 1 species